AUUUUAAAAAUAUAAAAGUUAUAUUCAUUUAAAGAUUAAAUUUAAAAAAAAAUAAUCUCAUGUCUCCUCUUUUCUUGAAUAAAUCUAUUUUUAAAUAUGUUUUCAUUUAGAAAUAGAAUACAAUAGAUAGAAACCCCUAAAAUUCGAAACUCAAAAUUAACGCCCACAUAUCAUGGUGUAGAUCCGGUGCUGAUACCACUUAAAGAGAAAAAAACGUGCGCAUAGAAUUAAAUGACACUUGCAGUCCAAAAUAUUAGUCGUUGAACCACAUAAUUCCAUUGGUUUCUAAUUUUAAUUGUACAGAGUGUCAGAUAAAAUUUUGAAUAGUAAGAUCAAGUUAAGUGAAAAGAGGUGUACCAGCAGACGAAAAGGAGCGGAUACCGAUACUGAACUGUAGACACCCCAUAAGUAUAGUUAGAAGAAGUGCAGAUGGUAAGAUAUAUUAAUAAUACAGUUUCUAUACCAACCUUUAUCUUAGAAGAAUCACCAUGAAUGCCAUUAACUAAUGGGAAUGAUGUUGGCCUGCAAAAUUUAAUUAGGAGAUUGUGGAAAAGCAAACAUUAGACACUGGAUUUACAUGCUAACUCAAUUUGACUAAUAACACACCAUGAAUAAUAUCAGAUACAACAUUCAGUAAGUUCUUUUCUUCUUUUAUUUUAAAAGUCAUUAUUUAAUUACAAGUUGUAAUUAUAGAUUUAAUUCCCAGAAAAGAGCAAAAAAUAUCAGAAAGACCAGAAAUUAUCUUAGAAAUCCAGUACCAGGUAGCAACGGAAGGAUUUUAUUCACCAUUAGUCACCUCACAACUUUCCCUACGCUUACUAUCAAUCACCUACUCUAUCAGCUAUGUACAGAAUACUAUCAAUCACCUAGUUGAUCACCAUUUUCAGCCAAAGCCAUACCAUGGUUUCAGCUGCUCGAAAGGUAAGAUUUAGCCUAACCCCUUCACCAUUCCUUAAUGAGUUCAGCCUGCAAUUGUUUAAACAAAUUACGCGAAUUUUAUUUCAGCAUUUCUUGCUAGCAUAACAGCAACCAAGUAAGCAGGUAAUUCUCAUCAACACUCCUUAUUUUACUUGCUAAGUUUUGAUGUGCAUGAAAUCAGAAAAACUCCACGUAGCCUUUAACACCAAGUUUAGAUUGACAGACAUACAAUACCAAUGCUUAAUGACUUGCGAACCUGCUUGGAAGAUAUCUUCAAUAAUAUCCAAAUCGUAGUAAUGAGCAAGAAGAGUAGAAUGUGCGGCAAUAAGAUUUCUCAUUUAAACUAAUGAAUUUAUAACUAAAAUGUAGGUUAUAAAGUUUCCAUUGUUAAACCUAAACCCUAAGAAUUUGCUGAUUAUUAAUCGAUAGGUAAAUCUUUUCAAAUUUUCACAUUUCUAAAAUUUAGUACUAAUCAUAAUGAAAUAUAAUCUUUCCUAACAUAAUAAUUUUCCAUUGUUAAAUCUAAAUCCUAAAAAUUGGCAGAUUAUUGAUCGAUUGGUAAAUCUUUCCAAAAUUUCAUUAUUCUAAAAUUGAGCACUAAUCAUAGUAGUCAAUCUUUCCUAAUUGAAUACUUACCAUGGAGAGGCGCAGAUCGCUGGCGGCGACUUGGUGACAGGGCAGACGGAGACGACGGUGGCGGAUGGCGGUGGAGGGGAAACGGGAGUGGCGAUGUUAUCACCGAGACGUAUUGCAGCAGUGAUCGGAGCAGAUUUCGUUACCGAGCAGAUCUCUGGCAAAGACUUGGUGACGGGGCGGACGGCGGUGAAGGGGAAAGGGGAGCGGCGAGGUGGCAGAUCGGGGCUGAGCUUGGGGCGAAUCGCCGGAGGCGACAGCCAUGGCUGUCGUGGUCGCCGGAAAUCGCGAAGAGGCAGUGAGGAUUUGGAGAUCUAGGCUUUGUUUGGGAGAGAGGAGAGAGAUUAGGGACUGAGAGAUGGAGAUGGGGGUCGAGAGAGAAUCUGUGGCCAUGGCCGUGGCUCGCCGGCGGCACUUUCCCUGGAGUUUCAGGGGCGGCUUCGAUGGGGUGAGGAAGAGAGGCGUGAGGAAGAGAGGCGUGAGUUUCUUUUUCUUUGAGCAAAAGAGGGGCGUGAGUUGUGUUUUAAAAUUGAGAAUAAAAUAAAUAAAAUAAGUGAUGUGGAAUUAUAUUACACGUCAGCGAUAGAGAAUUGAGCUAGAGGCUCUAGAAUUGCAGGAAUUUUGAAUGGUGAAUUCUUAGACAUGCC
rnacentral:lncRNA from 1 species